GGUUCCAUGGUCUAGCUGGUCUAGGACGCCUCCCUGUCACGGAGGAGAUCGCGGGUUCGAACCCGCUGGGACCG
rnacentral:tRNA from 1 species